rnacentral:rRNA from 1 species
AGAGUUUGAUCCUGGCUCAGAACGUACGCUGGCGGCACGCCUAACACAUGCAAGUCGAACGAAGUAGCAAUACUUAGUGGCAGACGGGUGAGUAACAUGUAGGUAUCUACCCUUUGGCCUGGAAUAACACGAGGAAACUUGUGCUAAUACCGGAUAAGUCUUUACGGAGAAAGCUUUAUGCACCAUUGGAUGAGCCUGCACUUGAUUAGUUUGUUGGUAGGGUAAUGGCCUACCAAGACUGUGAUCAAUAGCUGAUUUGAGAGGAUGAUCAGCCACAUUGGGACUGAGACACGGCCCAAACUCCUACGGGAGGCAGCAGUGGGGAAUCUUGCACAAUGGAGGAAACUCUGAUGCAGCGAUGCCGCGUGAGUGAAGAAGGCCUUUGGGUUGUAAAGCUCUUUCGUCGGGGAAGAAAAUGACUGUACCCGAAUAAGAAGGUCCGGCUAACUUCGUGCCAGCAGCCGCGGUAAUACGAAGGGACCUAGCGUAGUUCGGAAUUACUGGGCUUAAAGAGUUCGUAGGUGGUUGAAAAAGUUGGUGGUGAAAUCCCAGAGCUUAACUCUGGAACUGCCAUCAAAACUUUUCAGCUAGAGUUUGAUAGAGGAAAGCAGAAUUUCUAGUGUAGAGGUGAAAUUCGUAGAUAUUAGAAAGAAUACCAAUUGCGAAGGCAGCUUUCUGGAUCAAUACUGACACUGAGGAACGAAAGCAUGGGUAGCGAAGAGGAUUAGAUACCCUCGUAGUCCAUGCCGUAAACGAUGUGUGUUAGACGUUGGAAAUUUAUUUUCAGUGUCGCAGUGAAAGCGAUAAACACACCGCCUGGGGAGUACGACCGCAAGGCUAAAACUCAAAUGAAUUGACGGGGACCCGCACAAGUAGUGGAGCAUGUGGUUUAAUUCGAAGAUACGCGCAGAACCUUACCAACACUUGACAUGUUCGUCGCGACUUUAAGAGAUUAAAGUUUUCGUUCGGCCGGACGAACACAGUC